CCUACGGGUGGCAGCAGUGAGGAAUAUUGGUCAAUGGACGCAAGUCUGAACCAGCCAUGCCGCGUGCAGGAAGACGGCUCUAUGAGUUGUAAACUGCUUUUGUACGAGGGUAAACGCAGAUACGCGUAUCUGCCAGAAAGUAUCGUACGAAUAAGGCUCGGCAAACUCCGUGCCAGCAGCCGCGGGAAUACUGAGGAUUCAAGCUUUAUACGGAUUUAUUGGGUUUAAAGGGUGCGUAGGCGGUAGGGUAAGUUAGAGGUUAAAUCCCGAGGCUCAACCUCGGAAUUGCCUCUGAUACUGGUCGGCUAGAGAGUAGUAGAGGUAGGCGGAAUGUAGGGUGUAGCGGUGAAAUGCUUAGAGAUCAUACAGAACACCGAGUGCGAAGGCAGCUUACCAGGCUACUUCUGACGUUGAGGCACGAAAGCGUGGGGAGCAAACAGGAUUAGAUACCCGGGUAGUC
rnacentral:rRNA from 1 species